AUGGCAUUGGUGCAGACGUAUGGGAAGCUUGACAUCUUUUUGACUAUGACAUGCAACCCUAGCUGGGAGGAGAUACUGAAUGAGUUGCUUCCUGGCCAGACACCCCAGGACUGACCAGAUCUUGUCGCACGCAUGUUCAGGGCCAAGCUGGAGACCAUGAAAGAGAUGUUGUUCAAGAAGCACAUCCUGGGUGUUGUGGUAGCGCAUGUGUAUGUCGUCGAGUUCCAGAAGAGGGGCCUUCCCCAUGCACACUUCAAAUUAUAA
rnacentral:rRNA from 1 species